AUGACACAAGGCCUGAGCUGUAGGUGCACAUACAGAGAAGACACCAGAGAGCUCAGGAACCAACUCUGCCAGUGCUCAGCUGCUGCCUGCAGAUCCACCCAAGUGCUGUCAGCUCACCAGCUAAAGGAGGAGGACAUUCACUCAGGUGAGGUUUUACACUGCCCUGAGCUGGAGCUGAUUUUCAGGACUCGCAGGCACAUUGCCUCAGGUUUGGCAGCAGGACAGUCACGCUCCUACAAAAGCCCAUUCCAGUUAAUUAGAGCGUUGCCUUUCAGCACAAUUAAUGAUCUGAGAGGAUGCAGCAUGCUGAGGGAGGUAAACUCUCCUGGCCUUUGGACUCUGUGCUGCUGGCUGGAGGCUUUAGGGACACAGGAGGGAAAGGCCCAUCCUGCAGGUUCUGCAGAGGUGAGCAAAGCACUGGGAGGUUUCUGGGAGAGGGAUGCAGCAGUGGGUGGUGUGAGCAGGCAGCCUGCUGCUAAUCAGAGGCUCCUUUAUCUCUCAGCAGGAGCAGGACUGGAGAUGCAGCAGCCCAUAUGCACGGCCGUCUGCCCAAAGCCUUCCCCUCUUUGAUGAGGAUGGUACAGGCUGUGCUGAGCUGCAACUCGAUAAAUAUCAGCCAAGUCUCUCUGUCCCUAGAGGGGCAAGUGCCUUCUGCACCAUCCAAGGGCUGAGGAGAGGGAGCUGAAAUCGCUCCCUUCUCCUUGGAGGUAGAGCAGAGCCAGGGCAGGGCAGACACCCCCGCAGGUGACUCGUGGCUUCAUUCUUCAGCACCAAGUACCCUCAGAACUGCUUCAAAGACUUCUCUGGGCAGGCACAGUUAAGCCUUUUAUUUUAAUUAACCAUCUUUCCUUGGGGAUACCAGAGUCCCAAGGUCUGGCUUUUCAUUUUGCAAAUACAAAUGGAGAAGGUGUUGCAGUGAUACCCAUACCUAAGGCAGAUGUGCUGCCAACAUCCUAAAUUCCUUUUUUUUUUCCACUCAUGUACGUGAGCUGUCCUCAGAUCUCUGUGCUGAGACAUGCACAUUUUAAUUCCAAUAGCGCUUAGCACCCCCCACCACCCCGAGCUUUUUUUGCAGCCUCACCAAAAAUAUAUAUUCACAUGACUCUAGAAUAAAACUGGAAAGUCUCAUCUGCCUGGGUAGUUC
rnacentral:lncRNA from 1 species